AUGCUUGAGAAUUUAUUUGCUGCAAUUAAUGUUUGUCCCAAGCUUGGGGGUGUUAUAUCUAAUGAAAAUGAUAUUUUUAGUCUCCCAAGUUUUGAAGAGCAAAUUUAUUAUGAUGAUAGCAUGCCUCCUAUUUAUGAUGAUUAUAUUGAUGAAAGUGGGUUUGGAAGAGUGUCAACUUUAGGAAGUAAUGAUCCCACUAUUUUGGAGGAUGUUGAAUCUUAUUAUGAUAAUUAUAAAAGUGGAUUUGGAGAGGUCAUGACUUUAUUUAGUAAUGACUCCACUAUCUUGGAAGAGGUUUCAAUUGAUUAUGAUGAGAACAAAGUUGCUACUUAUGAUGAUUAUUGUGAUGAUACUUAUGUUACAAAAAGUAGUGAUGAUUAUAUUUACAAAAAUUUCCAUGAUUAUGAUUACGCUUUCCCUGAACGUUACUCUUUUAAUGUGGAAACAAUUUAUAGUAUUCGAGUUUCUUAUGAUACUCCCACUAUUCCGGAUGAGAAUUUUUUGCUUAUGUGGAGAAUAAUAAAAAUUAUAUGCUUGUGGCUCAUGAAAAGAAUGCCUUAUGUGAUAUUUAUAUUGUUGAAUUCAUUCAUGAUGCUACUGAAAAUUAUUAUGAGGGAGGAAUAUAUGCUUGUAGGAAUUGCAAUAAUAUCAAGUUUCCUCUCUAUGUGCUUAAAAUCUUGA
rnacentral:rRNA from 1 species